rnacentral:lncRNA from 1 species
AUGGCACCAAAGAGAAAAAGGAAGCCCCUGCCUCUCCCAAAGCUGAAGCCAACAAAGGCUUUAAAGGCCAAAAACACACUGCUGAAAGAUAUCCGCAUGCUACCCACCUUCAGGCUGCCCCAAGACACUGCAGCCAAAAUAUACUAGGAAGAGCACUCCCAAGAAAAACACGCUUAAUCCUGACCAAUGAGAAGACGGAAGACCACACCACACUUGCAUUAGUUGUGUAUGUCAAAGCCAACAAGCGCCAGAUGAAACAAGCUGUGAAGAAGCUCUAGGACACUGACAUGGCCAAGGUCAACACCCGGAUUGAGUCUGCCAGAGAGAAGGCAUAUAUUCAACAGAUUCCUGACUAUGAUGCUUUGAAUGUUGCCAACAAAACUGGAAUAA